rnacentral:tRNA from 1 species
GACUUCCAAGAACAAUGAGUUCGUUUUGUUUUGAACACAAAAAGAGGGGACUGAAUAUACCCGGGGGUCU